rnacentral:rRNA from 1 species
AGUGAACGCUGGCGGUAGGCCUAACACAUGCAAGUCGAACGGCAGCACAGUAAGAGCUUGCUCUUACGGGUGGCGAGUGGCGGACGGGUGAGGAAUACAUCGGAAUCUACUUUUUCGUGGGGGAUAACGUAGGGAAACUUACGCUAAUACCGCAUACGACCUACGGGUGAAAGCAGGGGAUCUUCGGACCUUGCGCGAUUGAAUGAGCCGAUGUCGGAUUAGCUAGUUGGCGGGGUAAAGGCCCACCAAGGCGACGAUCCGUAGCUGGUCUGAGAGGAUGAUGCGCCACCCUGGAAAUGAGACACGGUCCAGGCCCCUAAGGGAGGCAGCAGGGGGGAAUAUUGGACAAUGGGCGCAAGCCUGAGCCAGCCAUACCGCGUGGGUGAAGAAGGCCUGCGGGUUGUAAAGCCCUUUUGUUGGGAAAGAAAAGCAGCAGGUUAAUACCCCGCUGUUCUGACGGGACCCAAAGAAUAAGCACCGGCUAACUUCGU